CAACAUGUCCCAGCCUACUAUGACUUUCUUUUGUGCAGAGACGUUCUCACAUUUAUCAUGCCGCUCUCUGCGCUGGUGUUGAUGCUGCUGGUCUGCAGUGUUCAGGCUAAUUUUUACAGUAUAGUGGUGAACUACUAUCCACGUGGCAAUGUUUCAACAGGAUCUUCCACUGGCAUCCUUUAUUACAAGUUGGGCUACAGCUCCUGCUUGUAUAGUUUGCCCUACUCCAUCGGUGGUCAGACACUUGUUUUAGACAAGGUCGACGAGGAGAGUAUAGGAGAAUGGUGCCAAACUGAAGGAGUCAUCUCUCGGCUUUUUUCCAGCAACUCUAUAUUUUCAAUUCCGGUCUCUGGCAUAGACUGGAUCUUUGGCAUCAAAAAUGGCAUCGUAUCAUUUAAAAUUCAGGCUCUGGUGGAACUGAGGAUCCGCUCUGACAUCGGCAAAGCCAACACAUCACCACAGACCACUAUCAUACCAGCUAUCAGAGUUCCGUCAAACUGUCCAAGAAAUUUGAGCCUGUUGAUGUUUGAUCCUGAUGGAGACAUAGUGAAAUGCAGAAAUGGAGAUGCAUCACUCUCAGAGUGUAGUCCCUGCACACCACCGUCUGUCCUCAGCCUUUCACCAUCCUCUUGUACUCUGUCAUUCAGCCCCACAAACAGCAGUGAUGAAGGUCCGUAUGCGGUACAGCUGAUGAUAGAGGACUUUCCCAGACAGAACAUAACGUUGACUCAAACCAACGGGACACAAACAAUAAUAACAACCAACGACGCUAUCAGCAAAAUGCCAGUUCAGUUUGUCGUGAGAGUGGAUCCUGCAGUGCCAUCGUGCACAGAGGGACUCUUUCUACCCAUGUUCCUGCCUCCAACCCCAGCCCACAGAACCCAGCUCUACACCUACGUCAAUCAGACUCUGGCUAUCAGCAUCAAGGCACAGACACUUAACUCCACGAUCUCUGAGCUGCUGUUCAGCGCGCCGCACACAGUAACUCAAAAUCAAACAGGCCCAGGACAGUUCACACUGACGUGGACACCAUCUGAUUCAGUAGCUGAACAAAGCCACCCCAUUUGUUUUGUUGUCCAGGCAGUUUUAGGUGCAGCCAAGUACCACUCUGAGCUUCGAUGUGUCAUUGUGACCGUUAGAAAAGAUGUUGCAGCGCUGAAAAUGAAGUUUUCCUCGUCGAUGGAUUUAUCUAAAAUCAAUACCAAUGUCUUCCUAAAUCAGAUUAAACAGAAACUGCAGUCAUACGGACUACCUGAUGACAUCAGUCUGCGCCUCAUAAGCAGUGUGCCACAGAUUGGUGUAACUGUGUCCUCUAAUUCUACAACAUGAACCUGAAGUCCUGCGUCUGCAUGCUCUUUCUUCACUGUGUAUUUACUAGUUCAAGACUUUUAUGUGGAAAGAUAAUAAAAAAUAUUACUUAUAACAGAUAUUUUUGCACUAAACAGGUCUGUCAUAUAACAUUCUUUAUAAUAUUAAAUUUUUAAAGGGAUCUUUCAAGGUUGAAAUUUAUGUUUACUAUUGAUUAAUCCUUCUUUGUUCUUUCUUCCAAUAUCCUUGUCUGGUGGGCUGUGUUCUGUAUGCAAGUGGUCGUGGAGGAUUUUUUUAAUCAUAUUUUUUACAUGAGUGUAAGGUUUGUAAACUGGUUUUGGGUGAAUCAGUUUCUUAUACAGUCGUGUUUAUUUGUUUGGCUUUAGAAAGCUGUUCUUCGAAGUCAUAGCAGCCAGUGGCUGGAAUGAAAAAACAAACAAAAAAACAAUCUCAGUCACAUUUCUGACUUCAAAUUAUUUUUCCUACAAAUUAAAUCAAAC
ensembl:lncRNA